CAAUUUGCAUAAACCCCAAUAUAACAGCUCGGCCCCAAGGCAGCGCUCUUCAGUCUAGGGUGAGCUUCGUUUGAAUUCAAGUAUUUCUUUGCAAAGUGUAGACUGAGUGAUAAGUCGGGGCCUUGACAAUGGCUGACCAGGAACCCAAGCAGCCAGGAAUUGCAGGAGAGCUGCAACAGCAGAUCACUGGAUUCGAAAAGACUCAACUGAAGGAGACAAAGACCCAGGAGAAGAUCAGUUUGCCCGACGCAGCAACAAUUGAAGCAGAAAAGAAAGCAGCAAAAGAAGAUGCGGCAGCACAAUGAAAAUGAUUUUUUGAUUUGCACUGUACAUUCCACAAGCAUUGCCUUCUAGCUAUGUAUCUCUAAAGAAAAACUUGGAUAUUGAGUGAACUGGCUGGCUCCUACCCCAGUCAAUCUCCCUCCUCCACCCCACCCCAAUCCAUUUCUUUCUUCCACUUGUCCCCUCCCCUUUUUUCUUUUUUUUUUUGGAGAGAAAAAAAACUACUGACCAUUUGGCUGGCUUUGUACUUCUGGUGGCACUAAAGAGCUUGCAUGUCCAAGAGGGAGCCCAGAAAAGACUGCAGGAACCUUAAUAACCAAAUGCCUGUGAAUGGAGUGAAGGUGCCAAGGACCUGUGUUCAGUUCAAUCAACUAUGUAGAGUGCCAUUUUGUUAGGUCUCUUGGCAUGCACAGUAACUGAUUUUUGUUUUUUUUGAUAUGCAAAUAAAACAUUUGAAAUCUAA